rnacentral:rRNA from 1 species
CCUACGGGAGGCAGCAGUAGGGAAUCUUCCACAAUGGGCGACAGCCUGAUGGAGCAACGCCGCGUGGGUGAAGAAGGUCUUCGGAUCGUAAAACCCUGUUGUUAGAGAAGAAAGUGCGUGAGAGUAACUGUUCACGUUUCGACGGUAUCUAACCAGAAAGCCACGGCUAACUACGUGCCAGCAGCCGCGGUAAUACGUAGGGGGCAAGCGUUAUCCGGAUUUACUGGGUGUAAAGGGAGCGUAGACGGCAGCACAAGUCUGAAGUGAAAUGCCGGGGCUUAACCCCGGAACUGCUUUGGAAACUG